rnacentral:lncRNA from 1 species
AUCAGAGUCCACAUAUGUUCGGGGGAGGGACCCCAGAAGGCGGCUGACAGUAUUCCUUUAGCCAGAAAUCCCUUCAGGGAAGAGAAAGGUGCUCCCCUUUGCCUGCUUUUAUACUACAGACUGUUUCCAACUCCAGCUAGAAGUGACUAUUGCCGAUUAUGCUAAUCAGUGGCGACAAGCUCCCUUUGACUGCUCACUUCUCCAGUGAGGCUUCAAGCUUCUAGGCAUCAAGAUUAGUAAGGCUGUCUUCUGGGUGGGCCAGUUUGUUUCUCAGUGACACGAAAACAUUGCCUGGGGUGUGCACUGGUAUUUUCCAGAAAAUAUUUCAAGCAGAAUAUACUUAUUUUCCAGUUUUGAAAACAACUAGAUUGCCCAUCUCCAUUUCUCUCUAUCAUCUACUGUAUUAUUCUAUGGACAACUGCCACCCUAAUAAGCUCAAAGGAAACCAUGAGAGACUGUCUAACUAGACUUUUUGCUUGAUUUCCUGGACCCAAGAGCAGGAGUGAGGAGCUUUCUCCUGGUCAAGAAGGGAAGCCAGAAGUCAAGGCCACAGAAGACACAGGAAACAUCAUUUCCAAAGUGGGAGACAAAGCUGUUAACAGGAAAUUAUUUGUAAAGUCAAGAGCCAAGCAAAACAGAAAAAGGACAAGAAAUCUAUCACCUGUGGGUAUGAAUGGUUCUAGGGAAGUCUGUUGACAAUUGGAGGGUCUCAAAGGCGCUUUAUGGUACUUAUUUUAUGACCCUGAGUCUGGAGUCUGAUGAAUUAAAGAGGAAAUUCUGCUCUGGGCAACAUUUAAGAGAUAGUAUCUCCAGGCAGUAACUUUCGUAUUAACUCUCAUAAGAUUGAUGCCAUUCUGUCAUCUAAAGUGUGGACAAAAGUAGCAUUAAAGCAAAAUGAAAGGAUAU